UCUAAUGGAUGAUUUGGGUAAUCUAAAGAAAAAUUCCAAGGUGGGUGGUUGAGCUUGAGAGGAGCCGAAGAAAAAGAAAUGCAAAGACAAACAAAAGCAAGGUGGUCACGGUGGUUUCCUGGCGCCAACGACCGUCAUUCCAAGGUAGGAAAGCCACAUGUGGUGGUGGUUUGUGCAUACGAGGGGCGGUGAUUGGGUCCAACAGCGUGCCAGCUCUCACACCGGCAUCACCAGUACUCAACAUCGACGACAUCUUUGAUGAAUUUGGUGGCGGUAGUGCAAGAUGUGGAUUUGGUUUUACGGUGGCCCUUGGUGGCGGUAGGCAGGAUUCGUGAUGGCCAAACUAUUCAGCACAAAUCACUUCAGAUGAGAUGUGUGUGGACGGUGGAUGAUUGUAUUGAGACAUGGGAUGAAUAUCAGACAAACACUUCAAUGAUUUUACACAAUCGAAACCCUAAGAUGCCGCCUCCUCCUCCUAAGUUAGAAUAUCUCUCAUAAACACCAUCUGUUGCACAUCGCUCACACUUCAGAUGCCGCCGCCUCCUCCUCCUCCUCCUAAGUCCUCUCUCCUUCUAUCCUUCACUUUCCGAUUCGAUUAAUUCGUUCUGUUCAGUUCAGGCUUCAAAGUUCAACCGUGUCGUGUUAUAAACUGCCAAUUAGGUCGCAUUCCGUCCCGGAGAUCCACCUCCGGCGGCUCUUUUUCACACAGAUUCUUCUCAUCUGAAUCGAAAGUUGGAGGAUCAGCGUAUAUGAUAGUUGAUCAUACAUACGAGCCGGAGGUGCGGGUUUACGAGCUGCAAUUGGUCUAUCUGAGCAUGGCUUUAAUACUGCUUGUAUAACUAAGCUGUUUCCAACUCGUUCUCACACUGUUGCCGCUCAGGUCGCAUCGUGUCUUUACAAGCGCUAUAUUUUCCGGCAAAAUCAAGGUCGCAUCGUGUCUUUACAAGCGCUAUAUUUUCCGGCAAAAUCAAGAUUAAUGACGUGGAGUUGAGCUGAAUAGAAAAUAUUGAAGGAAAAAAAAAAGAUAAAGGAAACUAAAAUAUAAGAAAUGAUGUUGCUAUUACUUGGCUUUCAGUUGUCAUUUUCAGGUUUUUUUUCGUAUGCAUUAAAAAUAUCGAGAUAUGUUGUCUCC